rnacentral:rRNA from 1 species
GUGAGGAAUAUUGGUCAAUGGGCGGGAGCCUGAACCAGCCAAGUCGCGUGAAGGAAGAAGGAUCUAUGGUUCGUAAACUUCUUUUGCAGGGGAAUAAAGUGCAGGACGUGUCCUGUUUUGUAUGUACCCUGAGAAUAAGGAUCGGCUAACUCCGUGCCAGCAGCCGCGGUAAUACGGAGGAUCCGAGCGUUAUCCGGAUUUAUUGGGUUUAAAGGGUGCGUAGGUGGUUUGAUAAGUCAGCGGUGAAAGUUUGCAGCUUAACUGUAAAAAUGCCGUUGAAACUGUCGGACUUGAGUGUAAAUGAGGUAGGCGGAAUGCGUGGUGUAGCGGUGAAAUGCAUAGAUAUCACGCAGAACUCCGAUUGCGAAGGCAGCUUACUAAGCUACAACUGACACUGAAGCACGAAAGCGUGGGGAUCAAACAGGAUUAGAAACCCUAGUAGUCC